GGCAGACCCAUUUGGGGAGCAAGGAGCCCUGUCAGGGGUCAUGGUCCUCUCAGGACUGUGGGGACAGGUCUCAGGGCCUCCUCCUUCCCACCCGGAGAAGCAGACCCAGGAAAGGGACACUUCAGGGACUGUGGCAGCAAUUCCUUCAACAACAGGCAGCAGCUAACAUUUCCUGGGUCCUCUGCGAGUAGCUUUACACGCAUUAGGUCAGUCAAUCCUCAGAGUCUCCAGGAACCAGGACUGGCAGCCUCCCAUGUUCCAGAUGAGGAUACUGAGACCCAGAUUUCUGAGACCAUUCACAGCACCAGGUCUUGGAAUUCAGGCUGCCUGACUCCCGCAUCGAGCACAUAACCUCUUCUCUGACCCUCUCUUCUGAGAACUCACCCAGGACCUGGAGCCCACCUGUCCUGCCAUCUUCUCUGCUAAGGCCCCACCCCACUGCAGUGCAGGGGCCGCUGAAUCCAGGGUGCCUUCCUGGGAGCAGAAACAUCUGAAGAGGACUCUGGAGAAGAGUGUGGGAUCGGUUCCCAAACCUGAGAGGGACAUAAAUUUUCCCCAGCAGCACCCCGGAAACGGAGGGCUCCUGGGAAGAUGAAAUGGGAUGGCGUAUACAAGGCCCCGGACAGGGACAGGUUCCCCAGUCAGACACCCCCACCAGACGCCCUCCCCCAGGCUCCUAGCCGCUCCCGGCCCCCAGCUGGGGAAGCCCCCAGUACAUAGUUGUAUAUUCUUCGUUGUGGGUCCUUCCAGUCGUGGCAUGUGGGAUGCUGCCUCAGCAUGGUUUUGAUGAGCAGUGCCAUGUCUGCGCCCAGGAUUCGAACCAACAAAACACUGGGCUGCCUACAGCGG
rnacentral:lncRNA from 1 species